GCAGUGGUGGUUCAGUGGUAGAAUUCUCACCUUCCAUACAGGAAACUUGGGUUCAAUUCCCAGCCAAUGCA
rnacentral:tRNA from 1 species